rnacentral:rRNA from 1 species
GACGAACGCUGGCGGCGUGCUUAACACAUGCAAGUCGAACGGAAAGGCCCUGCUUUUGUGGGGUGCUCGAGUGGCGAACGGGUGAGUAACACGUGAGUAACCUGCCCUUGACUUUGGGAUAAAUUCAGGAAACUGGGGCUAAUACCGGAUAGGAGCUCCUGCUGCAUGGUGGGGGUUGGAAAGUUUCGGCGGUUGGGGAUGGACUCGCGGCUUAUCAGCUUGUUGGUGGGGUAGUGGCUUACCAAGGCUUUGACGGGUAGCCGGCCUGAGAGGGUGACCGGCCACAUUGGGACUGAGAUACGGCUCAGACUCCUACGGGAGGCAGCAGUGGGGAAUAUUGCACAAUGGGCGGAAGCCUGAUGCAGCAACGCCGCGUGCGGGAUGACGGCCUUCGGGUUGUAAACCGCUUUCGCCUGUGACGAAGCGUGAGUGACGGUAAUGGGUAAAGAAGCACCGGCUAACUACGUG